AUUGAACGCUGGCGGCAGGCUUAACACAUGCAAGUCGAGCGGGGGAAGGUAGCUUGCUACUGGACCUAGCGGCGGACGGGUGAGUAAUGCUUAGGAAUCUGCCUAUUAGUGGGGGACAACAUCUCGAAAGGGAUGCUAAUACCGCAUACGUCCUACGGGAGAAAGCAGGGGAGCUUCGGACCUUGCGCUAAUAGAUGAGCCUAAGUCGGAUUAGCUAGUUGGUGGGGUAAAGGCCUACCAAGGCGACGAUCUGUAGCGGGUCUGAGAGGAUGAUCCGCCACACUGGGACUGAGACACGGCCCAGACUCCUACGGGAGGCAGCAGUGGGGAAUAUUGGACAAUGGGGGGAACCCUGAUCCAGCCAUGCCGCGUGUGUGAAGAAGGCCUUAUGGUUGUAAAGCACUUUAAGCGAGGAGGAGGCUACUUUAGUUAAUACCUAGAGAUAGUGGACGUUACUCGCAGAAUAAGCACCGGCUAACUCUGUGCCAGCCGCCGCGGUAAGAC
rnacentral:rRNA from 1 species